UUGAUUGCUUUUGAUUGCGCUGUGCAAUUCAAUCUUUCAAUGAAAAAUGCAAGCACGGUUUGGGGAGGGGUU
rnacentral:tRNA from 1 species